UACGAAGGGGGCUAGCGUUGCUCGGAAUGACUGGGCGUAAAGGGCGCGUAGGCGGCUUGGCAAGUCAGGCGUGAAAUUCCUGGGCUCAACCUGGGGGCUGCGCUUGAGACUGCUGGGCUUGAGGAUGGAAGAGGCUCGUGGAAUUCCCAGUGUAGAGGUGAAAUUCGUAGAUAUUGGGAAGAACACCGGUGGCGAAGGCGGCGAGCUGGUCCAUUACUGACGCUGAGGCGCGACAGCGUGGGGAGCAAACAGG
rnacentral:rRNA from 1 species